rnacentral:lncRNA from 1 species
UCCAGGCUGCAGAAAAACCAUGUUCACAGUUCAAUUUAUAUCUGAAGCCGUUCUCCGUUCUUAUAUGUUGUGUCAGCAAUCGCAAAACUAUCUGGAUUUCCAGAUUUUAGCUGUCUGCAAAACGGAUAAUCCAUAUCUCGAUUAUCCAAUCAUGAAGAACUCUAUCCAAUAAUGCAAAAAUAAACAAAUCAUUCUUGAAAAACCAAUCCAUGAAAGAAGAGUCAGGAGAACUGUGACAUUCUUGAUAUCUACAAUCCGGAAAAAGCAUAUCAAAAUACGAGUCCAUAAUGAACUCCUUGAUAGCGAUAGAUUAAAGACCCUAGAAUCUUGUAUGCUUCAUACUCAUGUUCCUGAUACAAAAACAUAAACACUAAAACUCUAGCAGAGCACAAAUUCAGAGGUAAAGAAAAAAUGACAAGUUUUAUUCAUCACAAGGUUGAACGAAGAGUAAGAGGGAUGACCAUAUUUAUCCCAAGGCUGAACGGAAAGUAAGUGAACCUCUCUGCAUGCCAGACACUUAUAGGCUUACUCCCUUGUAACACCCACACAGAAAACUCAAAGGAACUGACAAAAGUGGACGUUGAUUAUCAAACAAAAACCGAAAUGCAAAAAGAUAACCAAAUUAUAUCCUAGCAACAGUUGACAGUAUACGACAGCCCGCAGGAAGAUAAUGAUUCAUUGGAACAAAUUUCCAUCGAAUUUGCAAGAUCGUCAUGCAACCAUAUGAUAGAGACAAUUUAGUUUUCUCCCAAUACAGAGAAGUCCCUACGCAACAUAAUGAAGAGGAUAUCUUUUAAGGAGGAUUAUCAUAUGAAAGUAGAUGCUGACUGUCAAACAAAGAUUGAAAUAUAAAUAAUCUCGAUAAAGUAUAUGGCACAGCCUGCAGAUGACGUUGAUUCAGUGGAACCAAUUUGUUCAAAAUUGUCAUGUAGCGAUAAGAUAGACACAAUUUAGGCUACCCCAAAUACAGAGGAGUCCUUGGGCCACUGUAAUAAAGAGGAUAUCUUCAUCAUCAUAAAUUACAAAUAACAAUGAAAACAACAAAUCAAUGUAAGUUGAUCACAGAAACAAGAUAAUUAGUUGACAGAAGAUAACAAUGUGAAGUGUGACUGGAGACUUCUGUUCCAC